rnacentral:rRNA from 1 species
GCUCACGGCCAUACCAGCCUGAACAUGUCUGAUCUUGGCUGCUAAGCAGGGUUGGGCCUGGUUAGUACUUGGAUGUGAGACCACCUGGGAAUACCAGGUGCUGUAUGCU